ensembl:piRNA 21ur-14238 ncRNA
UUGAUGUGUUGCUAAAAACUU